CAGUAGCCGCGGUAAUACGUAGGGUGCGAGCGUUAAUCGGAAUUACUGGGCGUAAAGCGUGCGCAGGCGGUUUUGUAAGACAGGCGUGAAAUCCCCGGGCUCAACCUGGGAAUGGCGCUUAUGACUGCAAAGCUAGAGUGCGGCAGAGGGGGAUGGAAUUCCGCGUGUAGCAGUGAAAUGCGUAGAUAUGCGGAGGAACACCGAUGGCGAAGGCAAUCCCCUGGGCCUGCACUGACGCUCAUGCACGAAAGCGUGGGGAGCAAACAGGAUUAGAUACCCCAGUAGUCCCUGUCUCUUAUAC
rnacentral:rRNA from 1 species